rnacentral:rRNA from 1 species
CAGCUAGUUGGUAGGGUAACGGCCUACCAAGGCGACGAUCGGUAGCCGGCCUGAGAGGGUGAUCGGCCACACUGGAACUGAGACACGGUCCAGACUCCUACGGGAGGCAGCAGUGGGGAAUUUUGCGCAAUGGGCUAACGCCUGACGCAGCAACGCCGCGUGGAGGAUGAAGGUCUUUGGAUUGUAAACUCCUGUCAGCAGGGAAAAAGCGAAUUGGCCUAAUACGCCAGUGAGUUGAUUGUACCUGCAGAGGAAGCCCCGGCUAACUCUGUGCCAGCAGCCGCGGUAAUACAGAGGGGGCAAGCGUUAUUCGGAAUUAUUGGGCGUAAAGGGCGCGUAGGCGGCUUGGCAAGUGGAUGGUGAAAUCCCUCGGCUUAACCGAGGAACUGCCGUCCAAACUGCUUUGCUUGAGGCCGGGAGAGGCGAGUGGAAUUCCCAGUGUAGCGGUGAAAUGCGUA